rnacentral:rRNA from 1 species
GGACGACGCUGGCGGCGUGCCUAUUACAUGCAAGUCGAGCGGACAGAUGGGAGCUUGCUCCCUGAUGUUAGCGGCGGACGGGUGAGUAACACGUGGGUAACCUGCCUGUAAGACUGGGAUAACUCCGGGAAACCGGGGCUAAUACCGGAUGGUUGUUUGAACCGCAUGGUUCAGACAUAAAAGGUGGCUUCGGCUACCACUUACAGAUGGACCCGCGGCGCAUUAGCUAGUUGGUGAGGUAACGGCUCACCAAGGCGACGAUGCGUAGCCGACCUGAGAGGGUGAUCGGCCACACUGGGACUGAGACACGGCCCAGACUCCUACGGGAGGCAGCAGUAGGGAAUCUUCCGCAAUGGACGAAAGUCUGACGGAGCAACGCCGCGUGAGUGAUGAAGGUUUUCGGAUCGUAAAGCUCUGUUGUUAGGGAAGAACAAGUGCCGUUCAAAUAGGGCGGCACCUUGACGGUACCUAACCAGAAAGCCACGGCUAACUACGUGCCAGCAGCCGCGGUAAUACGUAGGUGGCAAGCGUUGUCCGGAAUUAUUGGGCGUAAAGGGCUCGCAGGCGGUUUCUUAAGUCUGAUGUGAAAGCCCCCGGCUCAACCGGGGAGGGUCAUUGGAAACUGGGGAACUUGAGUGCAGAAGAGGAGAGUGGAAUUCCACGUGUAGCGGUGAAAUGCGUAGAGAUGUGGAGGAACACCAGUGGCGAACGCGACUCUCUGGUCUGUAACUGACGCUGAGGAGCGAAAGCGUGGGGAGCGAACAGGAUUAGAUACCCUGCUAGUCCACGCCGUAACGAUGAGUGCUAAGUGUUAUGGGGUUUCCGCCCCUUAGUGCUGCAGCUAACGCAUUAGCACUCCGCCUGGGGGAGUACGGUCGCAGACUGAAACU